UACAAGAUCUGCUGGUUUUAAAAAUGGGAGUUUCCCUGCACAAGCUCUCUCUUUUUGUCUGCUGCCAUCCAUGUAAGACGUGACUUGCUCCUCCUUGCCUUCCGCCAUGAUUGUGAGGUCUCCCCACCUACGUGGAACUGUGAGCACACAAGCGGGGUUGCAACAAGGAACUGGCAACCAUGUCUGAGGAAGGCUGGACUACAGGUUCGAAUCUACAUCCGUAACAUGAAUUCUGUAAGAAAGAAGAGGCAACAACACUCUGUCCACUGAAAAAGCGUUGAGGAAAUGACAACCCAGGAGCAGUGAGACCACCUGGUACCCAGAUCUUGAUUUCUAAACACUGUUACCCACCAAGAGGAACUAAAAUUUUCUGCAGAAAUGGCUGACUAUCCAUGGAAAUGAAGCUCCAAGUGAAGCCCAGGAUGUCCUACGGUCCCAAGAAGGAGGGAGAGGCUUAAAAACUCCUGGGGUCAUGUGGAAAGGAUGUGAAACUGACUUGAGGGAUCCACCUAGUGAAGUUUGGGACUACUGAGCAUCAAUAAGAAUGACCGUAGUUAAUGAAAAUACACUAAACAAAUAGAAAAUU